rnacentral:rRNA from 1 species
AUGGCGCACGAGCGGCGCGGCGCGGCGGCGUCGUCCGCGGCUGCACACGACGCUGCAGGGGAAGCGCUAUUUGUUGACGUAGUACAUGAAGCCCCUCUAUCUGGUCAGCGGCAGCCUCGAAGCAUAGUUGGUGGCACUCUGUACUGUAUCUUAUUGGCAGGUUAUGCUGGUAUUGUCAUAGCAGCUCCAUGGAUAUUUGUUCUUAUACCAGACAUGAUCCUUCCGUUGCUAUGUAGCUGCAAUGUUCUGCUUCUAAUUAUUACAGGUAUAUUCCAACAAUAUUGGGUCCAUCAGGUCACAAAAGUGCGACUACAGGGCUACUAUGAUUUAAGCCAAAAAUUGAAGCGCAUUGCUCGAGUUCCAUUUGCCGCUAUUGCUUGCGGUACUGCCCUAUUGCUCUUAAUUCUAGUUUGGCAGCCUCGAGUAGAGGUAUUAUCAAUUUCAGUUUUGCUCAGGAUUGCACUAGUUGUUGAAGUGAUAUCCGCCGGAUGUUUCAUGAGCUUAUACAUAGGGCACAUCCAUAAAUACAACUCUUUGAAUGAGCAGCCUGACAUUCUACGGCCACUUUAUUCUGCACUGCAACCAUCUAGUUCGCUGGAAGAGAUAAGGUACUAUGAUUCUCGUCUGUCUGACCAACAAAUGGCAUUGCUCCAGUACCAGAGGGAGAAUAUUCAUUAUCUGAGUGAAGAGGUGCUUAGGUUGCAAGAAAGCUUAAGUAAGUACCAUAGAAGUGUUGCUGCCAGCACUCCUCAGGUUGAUCUUACUCAUCUUUUGGCAUCUCGUGAUCAAGAACUUCGUGCACUGUCUGCUGAGAUGAAUCAAGUGCAUUCGGAGCUUCGUGUUGCUCGUGGUUUGAUUGCUGAGAAGGACUCAGAGAUCCAGCUCAUCCGUGGGAAAAACAAUCAAUACGUCGAAGAAAACGAGAGACUAAGAGCUAUCCUUGGUGAAUGGAGCACUCGAGCAGCAAAGCUUGAGAGAGCGCUCGAGGCUGAGAGAGUGUCCAACAUGGAACUGCAGAAGAACCGCGCAAAGCUCAGACGCCAAUCAACCAGGGAGAAAAUACCUGACAUUCCUCAAUCAGACAGUUCCUCCAUAGGUGUGCUCUAG